rnacentral:rRNA from 1 species
AUUGAACGCUGGCGGAAUGCUUUACACAUGCAAGUCGAACGGCAGCACGGACUUCGGUCUGGUGGCGAGUGGCGAACGGGUGAGUAAUACAUCGGAACGUGCCCAAUCGUGGGGGAUAGCGUAGCGAAAGCUACGCUAAUACCGCAUACGAUCUAAGGAUGAAAGCGGGGGAUCGCAAGACCUCGCGCGAAUGGAGCGGCCGAUGGCAGAUUAGGUAGUUGGUAGGGUAAAGGCCUACCAAGCCGACGAUCUGUAGCUGGUCUGAGAGGAUGAUCAGCCACCCUGGGACUGAGACACGGACCAGCCUCCUACGGGAGGCAGCAGUGGGGAAUUUUGGACAAUGGACGCAAGUCUGAUCCAGCCAUUCCGCGUGCAGGAUGAAGGCCCUCGGGUUGUAAACUGCUUUUGUACAGAACGAAAAGGCUCUGGUUAAUACCUGGGGCUCAUGACGGUACUGUAAGAAUAAGCACCGGCUAACUACGUGCCAGCAGCCGCCGUAA